rnacentral:rRNA from 1 species
CGACCCCAGGUCAGGCGGGAUCACCCGCUGAGUUUA